CUAGAAUUGACUUUUUCAUUAUUUUUUUAGCUAACUUCUUUACUUCAUAAGUGUUAAUUAUAUUGUAACCUUUGUAAGGGAUGAUUUAACUUCCACAAUGUAUAUACUUAUUUUUCACUCGUAGCUAUUCUGUAUCGGACACUGGUUCCCCCUGGUAGUGGCAUGUCAUAAGUGGUAUCAGUGCAAGCUCCUAGGACAUCCCUUAUAUUGAGGCUU
rnacentral:lncRNA from 1 species